rnacentral:rRNA from 1 species
CCUACGGGAGGCAGCAGUGAGGAAUAUUGGUCAAUGGGCGGAAGCCUGAACCAGCCAAGUCGCGUGAGGGAAUAAGGCCCUACGGGUCGUAAACCUCUUUUGCCGGGGAGCAAGGGCGGGGACGUGUCCCGGCCCGGAGAUUACCCGGAGAAAAAGCACCGGCUAACUCCGUGCCAGCAGCCGCGGUAUUAGUGGGGAUGCGAGGGUUAUCCGGAUUUAUUGGGUUUAAAGGGUGCGUGGGCGGGCUUUUAAGUCAGCGGUAAAAAUUCGGGGCUCAACCCCGUACGGCCGUUGAAACUGGUGGGCUUGAGUGGAGGAGAAGAAGGCGGAAUGCGUGGUGUAGCGGUGAAAUGCAUAGAUAUCACGCAGAACCCCGAUUGCGAAGGCAGCCUACCGGCGCCCUACUGACGCUGAGGCACGAAAGUGCGGGGAUCGAACAGGAUUAGAUACCCUAGUAGUC